CAGAUUUGAUCAUGGCUCAGAUUGAACGCUGGCGGCAGGCCUAACACAUGCAAGUCGAGCGGUAGCACAGAGAGUUGCUCUCGGUGACGAGCGGCGGACGGGUGAGUAAUGUCUGGGAAACUGCCUGAUGGAGGGGGAUAACUACUGGAAACGGUAGCUAAUACCGCAUAAUGUCGCAAGACCAAAGUGGGGGACCUUCGGGCCUCAUGCCAUCAGAUGUGCCCAGAUGGGAUUAGCUAGUAGGUGGGGUAACGGCUCACCUAGGCGACGAUCCCUAGCUGGUCUGAGAGGAUGACCAGCCACACUGGAACUGAGACACGGUCCAGACUCCUACGGGAGGCAGCAGUGGGGAAUAUUGCACAAUGGGCGCAAGCCUGAUGCAGCCAUGCCGCGUGUGUGAAGAAGGCCUUCGGGUUGUAAAGCACUUUCAGCGGGAGGAAGGCGGUGAGGUUAAUAACCUCAUCGAUUGACGUUACCCGCAGAAGAAGCACCGGCUAACUCCGUGCCAGCAGCCGCGGUAAUACGGAGGGUGCAAGCGUUAAUCGGAAUUACUGGGCGUAAAGCGCACGCAGGCGGUCUGUCAAGUCGGAUGUGAAAUCCCCGGGCUCAACCUGGGAACUGCAUUCGAAACUGGCAGGCUAGAGUCUUGUAGAGGGGUAGAAUUCCAGGUGUAGCGGUGAAAUGCGUAGAGAUCUGGAGGAAUACCGGUGGCGAAGGCGGCCCCUGGACAAGACUGACGCUCAGGUGCGAAAGCGUGGGGAGCAAACAGGAUUAGAUACCCUGGUAGUCCACGCCGUAAACGAUGUCGAUUUGGAGGUUGUGCCCUUGAGGCGUGGCUUCCGGAGCUAACGCGUUAAAUCGACCGCCUGGGGGAGUACGGCCGCAAGGUUAAAACUCAAAUGAAUUGACGGGGGCCCGCACAAGCGGUGGAGCAUGUGGUUUAAUUCGAUGCAACGCGAAGAACCUUACCUGGUCUUGACAUCCACAGAACUUUCCAGAGAUGGAUUGGUGCCUUCGGGAACUGGAGACAGGUGCUGCAUGGCUGUCGUCAGCUCGUGUUGUGAAAUGUUGGGUUAAGUCCCGCAACGAGCGCA
rnacentral:rRNA from 1 species